rnacentral:tRNA from 2 species
GCGGGUAUAGCUCAGGGGUAGAAUAUUUGACUGCAGAUCAAGAGGUCCCUUGUUCGAAUUCAGGUGCCCUCU